GGAGCGCGUGCUCAGUGCGGCUCUGCGGUUGCAGGAAACCUUCCGUGGUAUUGCAUGGCGUUCAAAGCUUUCCUAAACUCAGAAGAUCUGUGCUGGAGUCUUCCAAUUUACCAUGUACUAGGUGUACAACUUAGAAGAGAAGAUCACUCCUGGAUAGUUUUGUCUCCUGGCCACCAGGAGUUUGUGAAAGUUGGCAAGUGAGUAAAUACACAUUUUGACUGAGGACAGGAAUGGGGACUGAGAUGCUGCCUUUCUAGAAAGCUCCUGGUGAUGCUGAUGCUUCAUGGACCACUUUGAGGAUCUAAGGUACAGUGCUGCGUGUUAGUCAGCUCUGCAGUUUCAUCAACUUCUCGGCUUCUAUUGGAUGACUAGUCUCAAUGUUGGUGCCAUAGACUGUUGGGCCUCCCAAAUUUUGUGUGUCACAAAAUUACUCAAAGGACAUGGAUUGGCAUUGGCAAGGAGUAUUUUUUCUCUCACUCAAGACUACUUUUUACUUCAGAGGAAAUGGGGCCAAAUUGCAUUUCACCAAUUAUGGAAGGGAUCGAUUCUGGAAACCCGAGUUAAUGGCAUUAUGUUUCUGACUUCCUCCAGAGCUGUUCUAAUGCCCAUUACAGCUGGCUGCUGCUUAGUAGCCCGUCUACUAACCCGGCUCUGAGAAUAUCCAGAUCCUACCAAUGUGAUCAGAAUUACACUCAAAGAAAUAGGAUGGAAAAAGACAGUAAUUCAGAGGGUAGAGCUGUACUGAAAUCCAUCUGUGAAGAGGCUGGAAAGUGAGGAGACCCUGAGGAAGAAUUCGUGCAGUGUCUAUCCAGCAGAGCUGACGAUCGGGAAGGCGCUGCACUCUGAGUGGACGUGCCUGGGCCCUCCAUGGUUUUGGUGAAAUAUUCACAUGGUAGAAGACGCGAAAUACUCAAAAAGACAAGGAAACAGAUCCUCUCUAGAGCCUCGGAGGACACCUUGAUUUCAGCCCAGUGACGUUGACUUUGGCCUUCCGGCCUCCAGAACUAUAGGCUAUAAGAGAAUAAAUGUGUGUUGCUCUGAGCCACCAAUUUGUGUGCCUUGUCCCAGCAGCCACAGGAAGUGAAUGCACUGGUCACAUCCUGAACAGGCAGUAGUGGCCCCUUGGAGUCAGCAGCUCCCUCAAGACCUCCCCUGCGACAGGAGCACCCAAAACACAAGCACACCUUUCUCUUGCUAAUAACGAUUAAUCUCCAUUUAAAGUAAAACUUUAAAAGUUUUACUAAAAGACUUCCGACUACCUGGGGAGGCAUGACAUAGAUGAAGAGGACUGAAAACUCCACCCUGCCGCCAUGUGAGCUGGUCACCUAUGAGCCCGUGCCUCUCUUCUAUACUCUAAUGCUGGUCCUGGUCCAGUUUCCAGGAGCCAGGUGAAUGGAUAAACAAACUUCGGUACAUUCAUAUAAUGGAAUAUUAUUUAGUGAUGCAAAGAAAUGAGCUGUUAAGUCACAAAAAGACAUGAAGGAAACUGAAAUGCAUAUUGCCGAGUG
rnacentral:lncRNA from 1 species